rnacentral:rRNA from 1 species
GAUGAACGCUGGCGGCGUGCCUAAUACAUGCAAGUCGAGCGAACAGACGAGGAGCUUGCUCCUCUGACGUUAGCGGCGGACGGGUGAGUAACACGUGGAUAACCUACCUAUAAGACUGGGAUAACUUCGGGAAACCGGAGCUAAUACCGGAUAAUAUAUUGAACCGCAUGGUUCAAUAGUGAAAGACGGUUUUGCUGUCACUUAUAGAUGGAUCCGCGCCGCAUUAGCUAGUUGGUAAGGUAACGGCUUACCAAGGCAACGAUGCGUAGCCGACCUGAGAGGGGUAUCCGCCCCCCCGGAACUGGGGACCGGUCCCGACCCCUACGGGAGGCAGGAGGAGGGAAUCUUCCGGAAUGGGCCAAAGGUUGACGGAGCAACGCCGCGGGAGUGAUGAAGGGCUUCGGAUCGUAAAACCCUGUUAUUAGGGAAGAACAAAUGUGUAAGUAACUAUGCACGGCUUGACGGUACCUAAUCAGAAAGCCACGGGUAACUACGUG